AUGGGAGGGCUAGGAUUCCGAGAUUUUGAAUUGUUUAACCUUGCCCUUCUUGCACGACAGUCAUGGAGGUUACUACAACAGCCGAGCUCUUUGUGUGCGCGUAUGCUGAAGGCGAUAUACUACCCGAGCGGAACGAUACUUCCAGCUGAGCUAGGCAACCGACCCUCGCAGGGAUUGAUAAGGAGAAUAGGUGAUGGAACAACAACAAAAAUCUGGGUUGAUAACUAGUUACCAUGGAAUGCAACAAUGAGACCUAUUGCUUGUUUGUCUGGUAACCCACCCACGAUGGUAAGUGAACUAAUAGAUAAUAGAAGUGCUACUUGGAGGAGGGAGGUCAUUGACCAAACCUUUCUGGCGGCGGACAAGAGUACGAUCCUGGGUAUCCCUAUUUGCACUCGGCGGAUGGACGAUUUCUGGGCGUGGAAUUUUGAGAAGAAUGGUAUAUUCACAGUGAGAUCAGCUUAUCGCAUGUUAGUAGACACAAAGAGAAGGAGAGAAGAUUGGCUAGAAGGUAAUGCGAGAAGUUCGGAUUAUGAAGCACAAGCGAAUAGUUGGACCUCUUUAUGGUCGGUUAAGGUACCGGGGAAGAUCCAUAAUUUUCUUUGGAGGCUUGCCAAACAUUCAAUCCCUACAGAGGAUGUUAGACACAGUAGGAACAUGGCCGAGGAGGAUAAGUGUCAGUUAUGUGGGAUGCCAGACUCUUGGUGUCAUUCAUUAUUGGAUUGCUCAACAUCACGGUGCGUGUGGGCACUAGUAGAUGAG
rnacentral:rRNA from 1 species